rnacentral:tRNA from 1 species
GGAUCGGUAUCUUAGUUGGUAAAGCACUUGUCUAGCGAAUAAGGGUCGUGAGUUCAAAUCUCACCUGAGCUG